rnacentral:rRNA from 1 species
UACGUAGGGUGCAAGCGUUGUCCGGAAUUAUUGGGCGUAAAGGGCUCGUAGGCGGUCCAUCGCGUCGGGAGUGAAAAGCUGGGGCUUAACCCCAGUCCUGCUUCCGAUACGGGUGGACUAGAGGUAUGCAGGGGAGAACGGAAUUCCUGGUGUAGCGGUGAAAUGCGCAGAUAUCAGGAGGAACACCGAUGGCGAAGGCAGGUCUCUGGGCCACUACUGACGCUGAGAAGCGAAAGCAUGGGGAGCGAACAGG